AGUGAAUGCAAAGUGAGCUGUGUUCCUCCUCUACUUCUGUGACUGCAGAGAGGAUGACAGAGAACAGUGGACACACAGUUGAACAUGAUGGACUAUAGGACAGGACUGCUGCUUUUAACUGUCUGCUGGGCAGGUGUUGAUGCUCAGACUCUGACACAAUCUGAACCAGUGGAUAAAAGUCCUGGACAAUCCCACACACUGACCUGUACAGCCUCUGGGUUUACACUGAGCAGUCACUGGAUGCACUGGGUCAGACAGGCUCCUGGACAAGGACUGGAGUGGGUCGGAGCAAGCACUCAUGAUGGCAGCAACCAGUACUACUCUACUUCAGUCAGAGGCCGGUUCACCAUCUCCAGAGACAACAGCAGACAGCAGCUGUAUCUGCAGAUGAACAGUCUGAAGGCUGAAGACUCUGCUGUGUAUUACUGUGCCAGAGAUACACAGUGACACGUCCUACCAGCAGAGCUGAACAAAAACCCCUCAGAGCCUGAAGACCUGGACCAUGAAGCCACCAGAGGAGGCGCUCUAACAUCAGAAAUCACUAUAACAUUUGUAGCGUGGGCGACUUUUUCCAUCUCUUGUUCAAAGCAAAUAAACACUGAAAUAACUGAAUAAGAAUGGAGUGAUUUGGCACCUGGGAUUUGACUGUCUAAAGUCAAUGCUUUUUUACAACUUGUGCAGCCAUUUGCUGAAAUGCAGUCAUGCUGAAGAAGCUUUUAAUUUUAUUCUCUGCCCCUUUUUGAUAAAGAAAUGGUGUCCAGUUCUCCUAAAUCUAAGCAACACGCAGCAUAACAAAA